GACGAACGCUGGCGGCGUGCUUAACACAUGCAAGUCGAGCGGUAAGGCCCUUUCGGGGGUACACGAGCGGCGAACGGGUGAGUAACACGUGGGUGACCUGCCCUCAGCUCUGGGAUAAGCCUGGGAAACUGGGUCUAAUACUGGAUAUGACUCCACGGUGCAUGUCGUGGGGUGGAAAGCCUUGUGCGGCUGAGGAUGGGCCCGCGGCCUAUCAGCUUGUUGGUGGGGUGAUGGCCUACCAAGGCGACGACGGGUAGCCGGCCUGAGAGGGCGACCGGCCACACUGGGACUGAGACACGGCCCAGACUCCUACGGGAGGCAGCAGUGGGGAAUCUUGCGCAAUGGGCGAAAGCCUGACGCAGCGACGCCGCGUGAGGGAUGACGGCCUGGUGUAA
rnacentral:rRNA from 1 species